rnacentral:ncRNA from 1 species
AUGGAGGGAGGGGUGGGAGGGGGGGCAGAGGGAGGAGGGACGUGGUGGCAGGGAGGAGAGGAGGCAUUGCGGACCUACUUAAAAGCAUUUGCCAAGAAUGUUUUCAUUAAUCAAGAACGAAAGUCAGAGGUUCGAAGACUAUCAGAUACUGUCGUAGUUCCAACCAUAAACGAUGCCGACUAGUAAUCCGGUAGUAUCAUUCCCAUGACCUGCCGGGCAGCUUAUUUUCAUGGCAGAGGACAACAAAAAUUAUUAGGGGGCUU